CCCAGGACCACCCAGGACCACCACCCAGCACCACCCAGGACCUCCCAGGACCACCCAGGACCACCACCCAGCACCAUCCAGAACCACCCAGCUCCACCCAGCAGGCGGGCCGGGCGCUCACAUUGCUGAUGACCGCGAGGUGAGUGAGGCCGGCUAGGAUGUGGAACCAGAUGCCGAUGUCUUGGGCGCGCUCCGCCACCGGGCGCCGAUACUCACACACGAACUUGCGCGCGUCCAGGCGGAUCUCCACCCAGUUGUUGAGUAGGGCAAAAAGUGGCGCCAGCGGGCAGGCGGCCACGAAGAUGGUGACAAAUCCAAACUGCAGCACUGCAGAGCAGGAGUAGCCACUGGCUGAAGCCGAAUGAUUCUGUAACAGUUACUGGUUAUGUUUUGCUGCCAGGAAGCUUGGUCCUGUGUUCUGCUAAGACACUCCAAGUUAUGACUGUGCCAGAUCUCCCUCCUGUUAGUCAAACAAAACCCCACCCUCAAAACCAUCUCACCCUUCAAGCCCUGGGUAUGGGCCACCACUUGGCUGGCUGUUUCAUAUCUGAGGAAACCACUGGAGAAAAUCCAUUCUCCAGGCUAACUUGG